CCUACGGGUGGCUGCUGUGAGGAAUAUUGGUCAAUGGGCGCGAGCCUGAACCAGCCAUGUAGCGUGAAGGAUGACUGCCCUACGGGUUGUACACUUCUUUUAUAAAGGAAUAAUGUUAGGCACGUGUGGAUUUUUGAAUGUACUUUAUGAAUAAGGAUCGGCUAACUCCGUGCCAGCAGCCGCGGUAAUACGGAGGAUCCGAGCGUUAUCCGGAUUUAUUGGGUUUAAAGGGUGCGUAGGUGGGCUGUUAAGUUAGUGGGUAAAGUUUGGGGCUCAACCCUACACUUGCAUCUGAUACUGUCUGUCUUGAGUACAGAUGAGGUAGGCGGAAUGCGUGGUGUAGCGGUGAAAUGCUUAGAUAUUACGAAGAACUCCGAUUGCGAAGGCAGCUUACUAAUCUGCCUCUGACAUUGAUGCUCGAAAGUGUGGGUAGCAAACAGGAUUAGAUACCCGUGUAGUC
rnacentral:rRNA from 1 species